GGAGAGGUGGCCGAGUGGUUGAAGGCGCACGCUUGGAAAGCGUGUAUACGAGCAAUCGUAUCGAGGGUUCGAAUCCCUCUCUCUCCGCCA
rnacentral:tRNA from 1 species